UACGUAGGGGGCAAGCGUUGUCCGGAUUCAUUGGGCGUAAAGAGCGUGUAGGCGGCCAGGUAGGUCGGUUGUGAAAACUGGAGGCUCAACCUUCAGAGGUCGACCGAAACCAUCUGGCUAGAGUCCGGGAGAGGAGAGUGGAAUUCCUGGUGUAGCGGUGAAAUGCGCAGAUAUCAGGAAGAACACCCGUGGCGAAGGCGACAUCCUGGACCGGUAUUGACGCUGAGGCGCGAAAGCCAGGGGAGCAAACGGG
rnacentral:rRNA from 1 species